rnacentral:misc_RNA from 1 species
AAUCGUCACUCUUCUCAUGCCUGGUUUUGACAAAUCAGAAAUCAAGCUAUAUCAAUUUAGAGGAGGGUCUGAGUUGUUGGUGGAGGCCGGUGAUCAGAGACGUGUGAUUCGUCUACCAUCUCAACUUCAAGGGAAGGUUGGAGGUGCUAAAUUUGCAGAUAGAAGUCUUGUCAUCACAAUGAGAUAGCAGAUGAAAUCAAGAAACCUCACCUACAUAUUUAGCUACAAGCAUGCAGCUAGAGUCACUUCACAUCAAAUGUUG